rnacentral:rRNA from 1 species
AUGCAGCGGCGCCUAAUGGUGACAGUUGUUAAAGCGGGGGAUCGCAAGACCUCGCGUCUGAAGAGGAGCCUGCGGCAGAUUAGCUAGUUGGUAAGGUAACGGCUUACCAAGGCGAUGAUCUGUAGCCGGCCUGAGAGGGCGGUCGGCCACACUGACACUGACAUACGGGUCAGACUCCUACGGGAGGCAGCAGUCGGGAAUUUUGGGCAAUGGGCGAAAGCCUGACCCAGCAACGCCGCGUGAAGGAUGAAAUCCCUCGGGAUGUAAACUUCGCAAGAACGGGAAGAAUAAGCCGGUGUCAACACCACCGGCGAUGACGGUACUGUUUGUAAGCUCCGGCUAACUCCGUGCCAGCAGCCGCGGUAAUACGGGGGGAGCAAGCGUUGUUCGGAUUUACUGGGCGUAAAGGGCGCGUAGGCGGCCACCGCAAGUCGACUGUGAAAUCUCUGGGCUUAACCCAGAACGGUCAGCCGAUACUGCGGGGCUAGAGUGCAGAAGGGGCAACUGGAAUUCUCGGUGUAGCGGUGAAAUGCGUAGAUAUCGAGAGGAACACCUGCGGCGAAGGCGGGUUGCUGGGCUGACACUGACGCUGAGGCGCG